AUUGAACGCUGGCGGCAUGCUUUACACAUGCAAGUCGAGCGGCAGCGCGGGGGCAACCCUGGCGGCGAGCGGCGAACGGGUGAGUAAUGCAUCGGAACGUAUCCUCGAGUGGGGGAUAACCCAGCGAAAGUUGGGCUAAUACCGCAUGAGCUCUGAGGAGGAAAGCGGGGGACCUGCGAGGGCCUCGCGCUGGAGGAGCGGCCGAUGUCCGAUUAGCUAGUUGGUGGGGUAAAGGCUUACCAAGGCGACGAUCGGUAGCUGGUCUGAGAGGAUGAUCAGCCACACUGGGACUGAGACACGGCCCAGACUCCUACGGGAGGCAGCAGUGGGGAAUUUUGGACAAUGGGGGCAACCCUGAUCCAGCCAUGCCGCGUGAGUGAAGAAGGCCUUCGGGUCGUAAAGCUCUUUCGGACGGAACGAAAUGGGCGGGACUAAUACUCCUGUCUGAUGACGGUACCGUAAGAAGAAGCACCGGCUAACUACGUG
rnacentral:rRNA from 1 species